UUUUUAAUUUUUAUAUAAAAGUUUAAUUUAAGUUUUAUGUUUUAUUAUUAGUUAAAUUUACAUGUAAAUUUUAGUAAGUAUUUAUAAUUUAAAUAAUAUAUAUAUAUAUAUAUACAGUAAUUAAUAUUAUAGAAUUAAAGAAAUUUAGAAAUAGUUAAAUUAAAUAGUAUAAAUAAAAUUUGUGCCAGCAAUUGCGGUUAAACAGAUUAUACAAAUAAAAUUUAUUGGUAUAAAUAAAAUUAUAUAUAUAUAUAUAUAUAUAUAUAUAUAUUAUAUUGAAUUUAUAAAUUUAAAAAUAAACUAGGAUUAGAUACCCUAUUAUUAUAAAUGAAAUUUUUUAAACUAUAGUAGUAUUAGUUAUGUUCUUGAAAUUAAAAAAAUUUGGCGGUAUUUUAGUCUAUUCAGAGGAACCUGUUUCAUAAUCGAUAAUCCACGAUGGACCUUACUUAAUUUUAUAAAGUUUAUAUACCGUCGUUAUAAAUAUUUUAAAAGAAUUUUAAUUUUUAAUUUUUAUUAAGAUAAAAUAUAUCAGAUCAAGGUUUAGCUAAUAGUUAAGUGAAAAUGGGUUACAAUAAAAUUAUUUAAAUGAAUUUAAUAUUGAAAUAUAUUAAUGAAAAUGGAUUUGAUAGUAAAAUUAUAUAGAUUAAUAAUUUGAUUUUAGCUCUAAAAUAUGUACAUAUCGCCCGUCACUCUUAUUUAUAAAUAAGAUAAGUCGUAACAUAGUAGAUGUACUGGAAAGUG
rnacentral:ncRNA from 1 species